rnacentral:rRNA from 1 species
AUUGAACGCUGGCGGCAGGCCUAACACAUGCAAGUCGAGCGGAGCGGCGGACGGGUGCGUAAUGCCUAGGAAUCUGCCUGGUAGUUGGGGAUAACGUCCGGAAACGGGAGCUAAUACCGCAUACUAUCAGCAGAGCCUAGGGCGGAUUAGCUAGUUGGGGGGGUAAAGGCAUACCAAGGCGACGACCCGUAACUGGUCUGAGAGGAUGAUCAGUCACACUGGAACUGAGACACGGUCCAGACUCCUACGGGAGGCAGCAGUGGGGAAUAUUGGACAAGGGGCGAAAGCCUGAUCCAGCCAUGCCGCGUGGGUGAAGAAGGUCUUCGGAUUGUAAAGCACUUUAAGUUGGGAGGCGUUACCAACAGAAUAAGCACCGGCUAACUUCGUGCCAGCAGCCGCGGUAAUUC